GCCGUUGUUCCGAAGUGGUUCCGAGGUAUCGGCAACCGGGCGGCCGAACGAUGCAUUCGAGCAGCUCAACACAUGUCUGUGUCCAUGCAUGGACUCCCCCUCCGGAGGCGGGGGCGCAGGUUCGAAUCCUGCCGGGGGCACCA
rnacentral:tRNA from 1 species